UUCCGGCCAACAUUACCUCAUACAGAAAAGGUGUCUUUGGAACUGGGAUCAAGGCCUGGGGCUUCCUGAGAGAAGCUGUAUCAGCCCUCGGCAGAGCUGGGCGCACCGCAGGGAUGAGAAAGGGUCAUCUGCGUGCUCCCCACUUCCACCCUGACACUGCCCCGCAUCCAGGACUGGCCACCGCCCCUGCCCAGAUGACCUCCCAAGAUUAGAAGCCAGCCGCCCGGUCCGAGGCUGAGCCCAUGACCGGAGCCUGGCGGAGGGAGCAGGAGGCCUGUCUUAAAGGAGCUCGAGACCCAUCGAUUGAUUUGGCGGCGUCCUGAGGAGUCUCAGCAGGAAGUCGGUUCCUCCCGAGCUCAGGCCCGAGUUCCAUCAGGACGGACGGAAGGAGAGGGGGUGCCCGGGACCCGCUGCACCAGCUGAAGGGGCUCAGGGCUGGCACAAAGGGGCAAGAGGCUGCUCCGGCUGCCGGACACACAGGCGGAGCCCCCAGCCUGAUUCCACCUGGAGCUGCUGCUCUGGGGGCUUCGCGGUCUGCCAGGCGGAAAGUCACUGGAUGAGAAGACUGGAGUCUAAACUGGUCAGCAGAGAGGUGUGGCCACACCCCGGGCCGUGGCCACCUUGCACCCCAGCUUUGGCCAACCCCAAAGCAGUGGUCGGGAGCAGAGAACUGAGGAGGGGCUGGUGGGGGCACCGGGGUGGGUGCUGGACCAGAACAAGGCCCGACUAUAAGGAGACUUGGUUGGCAGGAGUGAAUAAGAACAUGAUAAUCCCUGGUGAUGCAAACUGAGCCCUGAAAUGCAGAGACGCUUCCUUCCUCCAAUCACAGGGUUCUUCCAGGAGAUCGUAGCUUCGUGCCAUGAAGAUAAACGAGCUUUUAGUUAACAACAUUUGAGUUUGACUUCGUCUUCCCAGCCUCUGUUAGGUUCAAGGACAAGCUAGGAUUUCCAGGUUACAAAGCGCGUGGGGGUGACAUCAGCUCUGCUCAUCUGUCCUCGGCCUCCAGCCUGUGUGCCUGGCACUUCCUGGGCAUUUCUGCGGCAGCAGCUCCCUCACUGUUUGCAGCUGGCAGGUAGGGACCGCCUCAUUGAUGCCCCCGCAGAACAGGUGGGCGCGGAAGGGUGACCCCCACGGCCAGAAGUCAGAUUUGGUUUUAGGGGACAAGACCCAACACUUCUUCCCAGCUCUUCCUCUGCACGCCCAGGAAACCGUCUGCAUCACCCCCACCUGGCCCCAACACCGCCUGUUCUGGGCAGCGGGCUUUUGUCUCUCCUGCUACGUUCUUCUUUGUAUGUUAACUUCACAAGCAAUAAAAAUAAUGAGUCUGUGUAACUUUUUAAAACAACUUUCUUAAGAUAAAAUUCACAAACCAUACAACUGACCCACUUAGAGUAUACAAUCCAAUGGUUUUGGUAUAUCACAUCAUCAU